UCCCCGCGGCGGCGGCGGUCCGGAGAGAGGGCGAGCCCCGCGCGGCACCGGGGACCGGGCGCUACCACGAGGCCGGGACGCUGGAGUCUGGGCCUCACCACUUGCUGGGCCCUGAUCCUUCUUUUUCUUCUGCCUCCUCACGUCUCCAACCAGAAGGGGAUCUUUUAGUCCUUCACUUCAUGGGGAGCCUUCAGAGAGAGUAAUGCAGCCACAAGAAAGGAUGCCGUUGACCGACACAGUGACUGACAGGCUGCCCUGGCUCAGUUAUCACAGUGCUGAUGCUGUCCAUUCUAAAGGUACAGUACUGUGAUAACUGAAGGAUGGCAGCCAUCUUGCCUUCCAUCAGAGGAUCCUCACCGUGCCCAGGAAGAAAGAAGGCAAAAGAGGAAUGUGAAACAGGUGGCCGGGACCCAGAAACCCUCUUACCCUGUACCUCUGUCGUACUUCUCCAGGGGCAUAGGGAGAGUUGUUCUGCUUCUCUUUGCCUUGUUUUGUAACAUGGGGUAGUUGUUGGGGCAGCAGUGUUGUGCUAAGUGAACAUAUAUUAAGAUCUUUGGAACCUUUAGGAGACUGAAAAUAGGUAAGUAUGAGUUAGUAUUUCUGGAAUGGUAGUCAGAGAACUUUGUACCAUUUUUAUAAAUGUGAAAGGUAACUUAAUUAGAACAGCUUGGCACUUGUUGGUACACUGCUAGAUUUCAAAAUCAGAUUCUACUUACAGGGAGGAAAAAAAGCCCAAUAUGUUGAACAGUAUUGAAAUUAUUACAUAAAUAAAAGUCCAUCAUUGUAGACCGGCUUACUGAAGUGAGGAAAGAAAAAAGUAUAUCUUUGUCUUGAAGGAGUAGAUAGUGACAUCUCAUAUUUCUUUCAGGAUAUUUAGGAUCUGGCCUAAUUCAAAAGAAUAUUUACUGAAUACCUAUGUUAUUGCUGCUGCUGUCACCUUUACAUGAAAAUAAAAUGUAAGUUAUUUUAUUUCUAUCAACUAAGGACUAGUCUAAAGUGAUAUCUGGCACAAAUCGAUUUCAGGAAUAUGAAACUGUAAACACCAAGUCAGCAUCACAUGUACAUGAAAGACUAGGAAAUUUUUUUGUUGUUGUGGCCCACAUUGGAGUGCAGUGGUGUGAUCAUAGCUCACUGCAGCCUUGAUCUCCCAGGCUCAAGCAGUCCUCCCGCCUCAACCUCCCGAGUAGUCCCGAGUAGACUGCAGGCUCAGGCCACCCGCCUGCAAAUUUUUAGUAGAAACAGGAGUUCACUAUGUUGCCAAGGCUGGUCUUGACCUCCUGAGCUUAAUUGAUCCUCCCACCUCAGCCUCCCAAAGCGCUGGGAUUACAGGCAUGAGCCACUACACCCAGCCAUGAUUAGGAAAUUUAACAGAGCACACAUCUUCAACCUCCAUCUUACUCUAGAGAGUACUGCUGGGGGUGAAAGGUGGUUAUUGGAGAACCCAGGAUUUCCCACAUGCCCUCUGCCAAUCAUCCCUCUUCCCUCUCGACUGCUAAGGACACUGUACACAUGUAACAAUAGCAAACAAGAAACAAAGUGCAUGACUUCGAUUAUGUGUUAAAUCACAGUACUGUGCACGGCUCAGGUAAUUUCAUGGAAUGUAUUUUAGGCUCAGAGCCUAAUUGGGUAUGUUACCUCUUCCUAGGCUCAUGUCUGUAUCAGGGAGCCUGUGGAUGUCUGACUGGUGUGGGAACCCAAAGCAGUGACCCAUAUGCUUGAGCAAAGAGAACGGAGAUGGCCGAGGUCAGGCCCUAAUUUGAACCGCAAAGAGAAGAGGGGCCAGGGAGGGGAAAACCAUACGUGAAUUUUGUUUGUUUGUUUUAAAGACAGAGUCUCAGUCUGUCGCCAGGCUGGAGUGCAGUGGCUCAAAUCUUGGCUCACUGCAGCCUCUGCCUCCUGGGGUCAAGCAAUCCUUGGGCCUCAGCCUGCCGAGUAGCUGGGAUUACAGGUGUGCGCCACCGUGCCCAGCUAAUUUUGUAUUUUUGGUAGAGAUGGGGUUUCACCAUGUUAGCCAAACUGGUUUCAAACUCCUGUCCUCAAGUGAUUCUCCUACCUCAGCGUCUCAAAGUGCUGAGAUGACGGGCAUGAGCCACUGCACCCGGCCUCGUGUGACUUUUUAACAUACUGUGAACCUUACCUACUAUCAGCACUGCCAACUCCAUGUCUUAGAUACAGGCCAGGUGUAUUAUUAGGUCCUCCACUGGGACACAAUGGGGAAGAAAGGGAACUGAAAGGGAGUAGGCCUGCUACAGAGAGGUUCUGUCUUGUCCUUCAUUGUGCCAGUCCUCAGACAUUGAUGGUCACUGUAUUCCUUUGCUGGCGAUUGCAGUUCCCUUUAGUGUCUCUUCCCUCUUUACCCAAAGAGGAAUCAUUCUUAGUAGUGACGCCUUGAACCACACUUGGUUGGCCCAGAACUGUUAUUUUUCAGAUACAUUGACCACAUUAUAGCCCAGUACCUUCACAUGUCCUCAUAGAUCCACAAUUUCUCUAAGCUGUGUAAGCUACACUAUGUUUUUCAUUAAUUACAGACAGAGAGGGCUCUCCCCGGUUAUUAUGCUACCACUCCUGAAAUUCCUUGGAGUUUUCUUAUAAGGAAUUUCUGACAGAAACUCUGGAAGAACUUUUAGGAAGGGCAAGUUAUGAGAUUGGUGAAUCCUCAAGUAAUCUGAAACACUCCUAAUAUUUAGUGUUUUAGCAGGUGGAAAAAAAGUGCUUCAAGAAGUAAUGUGUUGUGCAAUCAUUGGCCUUGGUGAAGAUUUCACCACCUUCCCUGAUCUUCCUGUUUUCCCCGUUACUAGUUUUAUAAAAAUUCAUUGGGUUUUAUACUUACCCAACCUUGACCUCAAAAUCUACAGCCAGGCCUGUGGGGUGUUGAAGAACUGAGUGUUGGGCGUCAUUUGCAGUCACCCCUGCGGACAGAGUUGUGCUGGGUCCCCUUUCCUCUAAACAAGAAGGCUGAGGCUCAGUCUGCAGCAGGAGCUCCAGAAGCUUGCCUGGACCUGGAGGUCUUUGGCAUCUUCAAGGCAUUUCUUAGAUGUAAGGUGUUCCAACAGGUUAAGUGAGAAGUGAUGCAAGACAGAUCCGAUGGGGUUUUUCCACUGCCUUGCUUAAAACAUAGUAUGUGUUUGGUUGGUGUAUUCAUUGCAUUUUUCAGUUUAGGUGAAGUAUGUGAGAAUGGGAAGAUUGCAGUUAAACCUAGAAAUACCAUAUAAUCCAGCAAUUCCACUUCUGGAUACAUACCCAAAAGAUGUGAAAGGCGGCAGUCUGACAGAUAUUGUACACCCAUGUUUAUAGCAACAUGAUUCACAAUAGCUAAAAGGUAGGAGCAACCCCAGUGUCCAUUGAUGGAUAAGUAGAUAAAUGAAAUGUAGCGUAUACCUACAUUGGAAUAUGAUUCAGCCUUAAAAGGAAGAAAAUUCUGACAUAUGCUACAACAUGGAUGAACCCUGAAGAUACCAUGCUAAGUGUAAUAAGCCAAACACAAAAGGACAUAUACUGUAUGAUUCCACUCAUAUGAGGCCCCUAGAGUUGUUAAAUUCAUACAGCCGGGAAUCUGAUGGUUGCCAGGAGCUGGGGGAGAGGGAGAAAUGGAGAGUUAGUGUUUAAUGAAGUUGUAUUUGGGGAAGAUGAAAAAAUUCUGGAGAUAGAUGAUGGUAGUUGCACAACACCAUGAAUGUACUUAAUGCCACAAUGUACACCUAAAAAUGGAAAAUUUUAUGUGUAUUUUACCACAAUAAAAGAGAUUCAGGAUAAUAA